GCCGUGGCUCCCUGGGCGGGUGCCUGUGGCUCGGGCCAUGAGUCACGCUGGGUAACCCCAGUACGGGGAAGAGGGCAGGAGGCUGGGAGCCACCACCUCUGUGCCCGGUUGUCAUCUCGGCAUGAGGGCGACCGUCGGCUUCGUCCUGCCCUCCAUCUCUGAGGGCUUUUGGGAUGUGGCGGGAGACGGGGGAGUCCACUUCUCAAACCCGGUGCAUCCUGCAGGGCCGCCGCACUCACAAAAAGGCUAACUCCACACAGGACCUGCCUCCCUGGGCCCUGGCUCAGGCUGGGGCGAGACUGGCCUCCUGUGCUACCUGUGGAAGAGUUUGUUCAGCAAAUUGACAGUGUCAACAGAAUGUCAAGGGGGCAUUUACCCAGCUUUAAACAACCAAUUCAAGCCCUUCAGAGAUGCACAACGGACGCCCAGGCCAGGGCACUGCGUAGACAGGGUCGACAUCUGAUGACAAACUCUCAUCUGCCAAUUAGAGCAAGGUCAGGGCGUGUCACCAACCUCAGUGCCAGGCGGAGCAGAAGGAACAACACAACUAUUUCUUGGGGAAAAAUCUCAACUAGCAACCAAGGAGCUGGCAGGCCUCCCACUGGGUGAGAACAGCGCCCACCUGGUGCCCACCAGACUGAACAGCCCCGCGCAAGUGAGGCCGGGAGAAGUCCCCCAGCUGCCUGCAGAUGGGGCCUCGCUGUCAA
rnacentral:lncRNA from 1 species